GCACGGCUGAGGAACACGUGACUAACCUACCCCGGUGUGGGGGAUAACGGGUCGAAAGACUCGCUAAUCCCGCAUACGAUCCGCCUCGGCGGAGGAAAGCCGUAAGGCGCACUGGGCGGGGGUCGCGUCCCAUUAGAUAGUUGGUGUGGUAAUGGCGCACCAAGUCGAUGAUGGGUCUCUGGUCUGAGAGGACGACCAGACAGAUUGGGACUGAGACACGGCCCAAACUCCUACGGGGGGCAGCAGCAAGGAAUUUUCGGCAAUGGGCGCAAGCCUGACCGAGCAACGCCGCGUGGAGGAUGACGGCUCUUGGGUUGUAAACACCUUUUGGGGGGGACGAUAAUGACGGUACCCUCCGAAUCAGGCCCGGCUAACUACGUGCCAGCAGCCGCGGUAAUACGUAGGGGCCAAGCGUUGUCCGGAAUUACUGGGCGUAAAGCGUGGGUAGGUGGUCGGUGAUGUGCCGCGUGAAAGCGCCGGAGUAAUGCCGGCGAGGUCGCGGUAGACACACGGACUCGAGGCUCGCAGAGGAACGUGGAAUUCCCGGUGUAGUGGUGAAAUGCGUAGAUAUCGGGAGGAACACCAGUGGCGCAAGCGGCGUUCUGGGCGAGACCUGACACUGAGCCACGACGGCGUGGGGAGCAAACAGGAUUAGAUACCCUGGUAGUCCACGCAGUAAACGAUGCAUACCAGGUGUGGGAUGGCGUUCGCGUCGUUCCGUGCCGCAGCUUACGCGAUGAGUAUGCCGCCUGGGGACUACGAGCGCAAGCUUAAAACUCAAAGGAAUUGACGGGGGCCCGCACAAGCAGC
rnacentral:rRNA from 1 species